UUCUGGAAGCUUCCCGGAGCAGCUGGCGGAGGGAAAGCUGGCAGCAUGGAGGGGCAGGAAGAACCCGGGGCCCGGGCCUGGAGCCGGCACCCAGAGCCUGCACGCAUAAAAGGGCCCGAGGUACAGCCACUCCCCUUGCAUCAGUUCCAUUUUUAAAGAACUGGAAUGUAAUGGAACAUACUUAACGUGAAAUCUGUGCUGAGCAUAAUUCAGCCUUGCAUGAUUUGAAGACGCUGUGUGACUCCACCAGACCUGCUAUUAAUCUCAUCACGGCAAGUACAAGUACAUGACCAUGGGCUCUCUCAUCAGAAGAGGGGGUGGUGGAGAGCUUGCUCAGCCAGGCAUGACUUACAGCCAAAUCACUUGUGCCUAGAGUCCAGCGAUGGGAACGAGUGAUUUCUUUGACUGUUUCUUUCUUUAACAGGAAAAAAAAAAAUGCAUUCAGAAAUAAGCCUACAUUGCACAACAAAACGGCACUUCAUCUCAGUCCCCAAGGAAUCCACGGCAUUUUGGUGGAGGCACAGGCUUGACUGACCACAGUUUCUCUCAAGCCAUAGACUUCUCAUGAUCCAGCUAACCCCAACAUGAUUAGCCAACGAUCAAUUCACAAUUGAUGGGGGAAAUGCACCUGCUCUUAUUUUCUACGAAUGGAUGUUCGUGUGUUUCUGUAUGAGAUGCUUCCCACCCUCGAACGUUGGACUCCAAGUUAUUCAGCUUUGGGAUUCUGACUGGCUUCCUUGCUCCUCAGCUUGCAGAUGGCCUAAUGUGGGACCUCAACUUGUGAUCGUGUGAGUCAAUACUCCUUAAUAAACCUUUAUAUAUACACUUUAUGUAAUCAACCCUUUAUAUAUACACCUGUCCUAUUAGUUCUGUCCCUCUAGAGAACCCUGACACACCUUAACUAACAACUUUCAAUCAACA